AGAGGUGGCAAGCGUUGUUCGGAAUUAUUGGGCGUAAAGAGCACGUAGGUGGAUUUGUUAGUCAGAUGUGAAAGCCUUCUGUUCAACGGAAGAAUUGCAUCUGAAACUACAAACCUUGAGUAUAGGAGGGGAGAGUGGAACUUCUGGUGGAGCGGUGAAAUGCGUAGAUAUCAGAAGGAACGCCGGCGGCGAAAGCGACUCUCUGGCCUAUAACUGACACUGAGUGUGCGAAAGCUAGGGGGGAGCAAACGGGAUUAGAUACCCCGGUAGUCCUAGCCGUAAACGAUGGGCACUAAGUAGGGGGGAACUACCGAUGUUCUCUCUGCCGUAGCAAACGCAUUAAGUGCCCCCGCCUGGGAGUACGGCCGCAAGGCUA
rnacentral:rRNA from 1 species